rnacentral:misc_RNA from 1 species
GGCGCUGCGUGACACAUCCGUACACCCGCUACGUACCUUCACUCACUCCCGUCUAGCUAUCCGUGUGCAUGCAACUGCGAGUGCUCUGCACACCAUGAAGGCUGUCAUCCAGCGCGUUCUGAGCGGCUCUGUCACCUCAGAGGGUGAGGUGGUAGGUUCCAUCCAGAAAGGGCUGGCCGUCCUUGUGGGGAUCGCGCGUGACGACACGGCUGAUGACACCGAAUACAUCCUCCGCAAGAUUCUUGGUGUUCGGGUGUGGAGCAACGAGGAUGGGUCGAAGAUGUGGUGCCGCAACGUGAAGGAAAUCGAUGGAGAGGUGCUGCUCAUUUCACAGUUUACGCUCAUGCACGUCAUGAAGGGUAACAAGCCGGACUUCCAUAACGCCAUGCCACCUGAAGACGCCCUCAAGGUGUUCAACACGCUUCGCGAUAAACUGCGGUGCGAGUAUGCCCCACAAAAGAUUGCGACCGGCAACUUUCAGCACUACAUGAACAUCCACCUGUCGAACGACGGCCCCGUAACGCUCAUCCUGGAUAGCAAGAAAAGGAGUUGAAUACGAGUGCGCCAGGGAUUGCGAUGAUUCCCACGGGCCGCCCCACUCUUUAACAGCAAGGCAGCGACGCAGAGUCGCUCUGUUUUUUUUAUUAUUUUACCGUCUUUGAAGCCGUGUCCUGUCGACCCCGCCAGGCCUCACCCCCAACCCCCUUUAUUCUACCAGCGGGGCCCAUUCCUUUUCCGGCGUGUCCGCCCAAAACCGCCCCCACCCCCAUUUUCCCUUUGCGCUUGCCCUUGGCCUCGCGAAGGCUGUUCGGCGGGGCCCCCUGGCGCCCCAAAGGCCCGGGCACCCGGCCCCAACGACCAGCACCGCCACCACCGGCCGCGCCCCCCGCCACCCCGAGGCCCCCACCCCACGAGCCCCCUUUACCCGGCGGCAACGAGGGGGCCUACGGCGGCGGCCGACCCGAAAGGCGCCGGCGCGCAGCGGGCCAAAAGAACGCCCCCGCGGCACCAAAACAGAGCACGCACUGCCGCAGCAAAGGGAAAGGGCCAGAAAGCACCGCGGGGCCACCCGCCAACGAAACAGAACCGGCAGAGCAAACGGCAAAAGCCCGAAGAAAGAAGCCGCCCCACGCCAAGAAGCCUGCGCAAAAAGCGGCGCACAGGACACCCCGGGCAAAGAAACGCACAGCAGGCCCAACACAGCACGCCACGCCGAGCCCCCCAAAAAGCGCCACCGUAACGGAAGCGGCCGGACACCGGCGCAAAACAAACCACCAGCAACAACGGAAAGAAAAAGGUAAGCAGCGUCACCUUUGCCCGCCUUUUGCGCAGAGCCCCUCCCAAGGAUAGCCCAAAAGUAAUCUUAGUAACUGAAAAAAGAGCAGGAUUAUAGCCAUCGAUCACCCAGUGG